rnacentral:rRNA from 1 species
UACGUAGGGACCAAGCGUUGUUCGGAUUUACUGGGCGUAAAGAGCGCGCAGGUGGUCGUUCAAGUCGCGUGUGAAAGCCCCCGGCUCAACUGGGGAGGGUCACGCGAUACUGAUCGACUCGAAGGCAGGAGAGGGAAGUGGAAUUCCCGGUGUAGUGGUGAAAUGCGUAGAUAUCGGGAGGAACACCAGUGGCGAAGGCGACUUCCUGGCCUGUUCUUGACGCUGAGGCGCGAAAGCUAGGGGAGCAAACGGG